rnacentral:rRNA from 1 species
UACGUAGGGUGCAAGCGUUGUCCGGAAUUAUUGGGCGUAAAGAGCUCGUAGGCGGUUUGUCGCGUCUGCUGUGAAAACUCGGGGCUUAACUCCGGGCCUGCAGUGGGUACGGGCAGACUAGAGUGCGGUAGGGGAGACUGGAAUUCCUGGUGUAGCGGUGAAAUGCGCAGAUAUCAGGAGGAACACCGAUGGCGAAGGCAGGUCUCUGGGCAUUAACUGACGCUGAGGAGCGAAAGCAUGGGGAGCGAACAGG